CAUCAACCCUUCAAACUUCAAAACCUCUUUUCCUUUCUUCUCUCUCUCCCCACCUUCCUUCUCUCUCGAUUGCUGAAGCUACUAACGCCGUCGUUUUUGUGCCUCUCUGUGUUCGACGAUGAAGAAGCUAUACCGGAAAGGGACGGUUCAUCCGUCGCCCCCAGCGAUUUCUGACCAGCUUGCGUUUCUUCCGGCGACUAUCCUCACCCUCACGGCGGCGCUGUCACCGGAAGACAGGGAAGUCUUGGCUUACCUUAUAUCGUGCUCGUCCAGCAACACCGCACCACCUUUCACCAACUUUUCCGGUGGAAAUCCGCGCCGGAACGCUCAGAAGAACAGCGUGCCGAAGGGCGCGUCGGCUUCCACCGUGGACGGCGGCGAUCAUCCUCCUCUGUUUACUUGUAGCUGUUUUAGGUGCUAUAUGAGUUACUGGAUCAGGUGGGACUCCUCUCCGAAUCGACAGCUUAUACACGAGAUUAUCGAUGCUUUCGAGGAUUGGUUGGCGCAGACUAGUAAAAAUGGGAAGAAUAAUCGGAAGGAUAAGAGGAAUAAGAAGGAUUUGAAUAAGCAGUCGGCGGAGACGAAGCAGUCCGAGCUGACGAGCCCGGGAAAUAGCAGGUCGGAUGAGUCGGAAUCGGUGGGUGAGAGUAGUAACGGCGGCGGUGGCGGUGAGGGUUCCGGUGAAGCUUCUGGUGGUGGUGAUGGUGGGACCGAAGAGGAGGAGAAAGGAUCAGUGAGGCGGUUUGUGAGUUUCAUCGGUGAAAGGAUAUGGGGUGCUUGGGGCCAGUGAAAUUGGAAGAGAAAUCCAGAAAAUCAAUGAAAGUAGAACAAGGCUGAAGAAGAAAAGGGCAGUCCCUAUCUGGAAUUUGGAAAGGUGCGAUACGACGUCGCAACUUGGGGCAGUGACAGGAUGAGAGAGAAUGUGACCGAGUCUGGGAAGUAGCAAUACAGGAUAUUAGGAAAUCACAAAACUAAAACGCGUGAGGUCCAAAAUUCGUUACCAAAACUGUCCCUGAUUCAAAGGCGGUGGGUGGGGGGUACUUUCGAGGUACGUGCAAUACAACAGACAAACACUGGAAGGGCAAAAGGGUAAUUCCGCGUGCAGAGGAUAAUGGUGACGAUGAUGGAGAUGGUCGGCGAGGAGUGGUGGAGGGUUUCGAUAAAAGCACAGGGAAGGGCACAGAAAGAGGGCCGCUCCUAAAAUGACAUUUCUGUCCACUUCACUUCCCCCUUCGUUGUUCUCCAUGCCACAUUAUUCCCAAUAAUAUCAUGUUUCAACUCUUUUUUCUUUUUCUUUUAUAUAAAAAAUCAUCUUAUUAUGCCAUCCAGCUUUAUUUGCUAAUCCACAGAAUAUU